GGAUGUGAGGGUGAUCUGGCUAAAACAUCCGUGAUCGCCAGGCUUGACUCAACUGAUCUGGCUGGCUAGGUGGGUGUUCCCUUCCUCCUUCACCUCUCCAUGUGCUUCUCUCCUGAAGCUUUGUGCUCAGACAAAGAGGAUUACCUUCCUGUUAAAGGAUGACCAUUCUUCAGUCAAGGGUAUACAAGUAGCUGUGCUCCCCUGCUAGAACCUCCAAACAAGCUCUCAAACACACUGCAAAUGAUGUGCCAUUCACUGUUUAAACAGCUUUGAAGAUGCCAUUGUGUUGUAACAAAUUCUUAAUG
ensembl:misc_RNA 7SK 7SK RNA